AAAACAAAACAACCCCACUCCUUUGCUAAGGUUUUUGAACCCCGCCUUAACCAGCGCCAUUUCAACACGCCUCAGCUGCAGUUCCACCGUGAAUGGUGGUCGGAGACGCUCCACAUUAGGCUUUUAGCCUCUUUUGAGCGGAUCCGAAGGCAAAGGUAACUCCCCCUUUUCCCUUUUCUCCCUAUUUCUUAUGCUAUUUUAAACUAAAUCUAAAGCAGAGAAAGAAAACGAAAAAAAGAAUCGGUCACUACCUUCCAUCUCUGUUUUUGUAUUUUUUAUAAUUUGUGGAUACAGAAUGCCUGUUUUCUUUUUUUUCUUUUUUGAUUUGUGUGUAUAAUCUCCUUUUACAUAUUUGUAAACGGCUUUAUAUAGCCGAAUCAAUUAAAAAAAUUACCGAAAAUUUUUAUAUUUUCUCUAUCUUAUCUGCUGCUAUUCUGUUAUUGCCUCCAGUGCUUUCUCCUGCUAGUUGUUUGAAUUUGUUGCAGGUGUGGAGGUACGGCGCGCUGGGCUGCUGUUGGGGCGUGCGGUGGCUGAGGCUCGGUUGCUGCCUCGGGUUUCUGUUAGUAUUGGGUUACUGGGCCUCUAUCGAUUAGGUUAGGGGUUUAGGUUUAAUUGGGCUGGGGUAUUAAUUUUUGUAUUGGGUCGAGUUAGUGGGUUUUGGGUUUAUUAUUUUGGCUUUAAAUUUUGGCUGUAAUCUGAGCUGGACAUUCAGUUUGGUUUUUAUAUUUAUUAAUUGAGCCCGGGGCAAAAUUAGGUAUUACAAUUCCGAUAACUUCAGCAGAAAAAGAGACAUUUACUUAUUACAAAGAUGGUGCGACUUGAUUAUUAUUAUUAUUAUUAUUAUUAUAUACAUUACUUUAUUUAUUAUUUACUUUUUUAUUUACUUUACCACUCUCAGUCUUGUUGUUUUUUGUGAAACUUA
rnacentral:lncRNA from 1 species